rnacentral:lncRNA from 1 species
UGAAAGAGCAGGAUGAAGGGAGGAAGAUAUAGCCAGCCAGAGAAGGGAGAAGAGGAGAAACAUCUGGAAAAUAUCAGUGUUGCAGAGCCUCCCGGAAACUGACCUCGCCACCGAAAGGGUGAAUGGGGUCAACAUGGAAACAGCAUGAGAGGGGCCACAGAAGGGAUUCACCAGGAAGAAGAGGAAAGGCGGGGCUGAGGUGGCCAGGACAGCACGACAUCACAUCUGACCAAGGCAUCCUCAGCCUUCCUUCAGAAAAGCAGCAGAAAGAAAAAGGGAUCAAAAAUCACAGUGUGGAACUCAG